CCCUUAGAUGUCCGGGGCUGCACGCGCGCUACACUGAAGGAAUCAGCGUGCUAAAACCAUUGUCGAAAGGCAUUGGUAAACCCAUUAAAAUCCUACGUGAUUGGGAUCGGGAAUUGCAAUUAUUUCCCUUGAACGAGGAAUUCCCAGUAAGUGUGGGUCAUAAGCUCGCGUUGAUUACGUCCCUGCCCUUUGUACACACCGCCCGUCGCUGCCCGGGACUGAGCCGUUUCGAGAAAAGCGGGGACUGCUGCUGUCGGGGCUUUCGGGCCUUGGCUUCGGUGGAAACCGCUUUAAUCGCAGUGGCUUGAACCGGGCAAAAGUCGUACCA
rnacentral:rRNA from 1 species